AACGCACAUUGCGCCCAUUAGUAUUCUAGUGGGCAUGCCUGUUCGAGCGUCAUUUCAACCCUCAAGCUGUUUAUGCUUGGUGUUGGGGUUCUACUAUUUUGGUAGACCCUGAAAGACAUUGGCGGGCUUGCUUUAAACCCGAGCGUAGUAAAUUAUUUCGUUUAGGGACUUAUAGCGAGUUUGUAGCCGUGAAAUCAAGUAAACUCUUUCGAGUUCUUAUUUAUUAGUUGACCUCGGAUCAGGUAGGAAUACCCGCUGAACUUAA
rnacentral:misc_RNA from 1 species